rnacentral:lncRNA from 1 species
AUGUUUCAAGCAUUCAUAUUAUCAUGUAAGCCUACCAAUACAAUUAUAUGCAUCAAUGUGAAUUUGUAUAUUUCUUAAACAUAAAGGGCGACCUAGUCGCUUCGGUAAGCACAACCCACCUGCUAUUGCAUUCCGAUUGCUUGUCGACACUUGCAAUCGGCCUCCCGCGGCAUCCGGUGCUCGGUUCCGCCGGAACUUGCAAUUGCGCACUAACCGCGCAUCGCUUCGCAGCCUCGGGCAAAAAGGGUCUUCGUUUUGUUGUUACGGUGCUUCAAAUCUGUUUCCAGGAUUUUACGACGUCGCCUCGGCCCUCCAGGCGGAAACGAAGCCUAAACGUCCGUUUCUUUAAUAACUUCGCACCGGCU